UGUGGGAGCGAGCUUGCUCGCGAUGGCGUCAUUUCAGUCAAUACUUUUGUGACUGAUACACCGCUAUCGCGAGCAAGCUCGCUCCCACA
rnacentral:misc_RNA from 1 species